rnacentral:rRNA from 1 species
UGGGGUCUGCUAGUACACGUGGAUACCUACCCUAAGGUGGGAGAUAACCCCGGGAAACUGGGGAUAAUACCCCAUAGUCUAUGGAAGCUGGAAUGCUCUAUAGUUGAAAGAUUUAUCGCCUUAGGAUGGGUCUGCGGCCGAUUAGGUAGUUGUUGGGGUAACGGCCCAACAAGCCUUUGAUCGGUACGGGUUGUGGGAGCAAGAGCCCGGAGAUGGAUUCUGAGACACGAAUCCAGGCCCUACGGGGCGCAGCAGGCGCGAAAACUUUACAAUGCGGGAAACCGUGAUAAGGGAACUCCGAGUGCCCGUAAACGCGGGCUGUCCAUCUGCUUAAAAAACAGGUGAAGAAAGGGCCGGGCAAGACCGGUGCCAGCCGCCGCGGUAAUACCGGCGGCUCGAGUGGUGGCCACUAUUACUGGGCUUAAAGCGUCCGUAGCUUGGUUGUUAAGUCUCUUGGGAAAUCUGUCGGCUUAACCGACAGGCGUUUAAGGGAUACUGGCAAUCUAGGGACCGGGAGAGGUGAGAGGUACUCCAGGGGUAGGAGUGAAAUCCUGUAAUCCUUGGGGGACCACCUGUGGCGUAGGCGUCUCACCAGAACGGCUCCGACAGUGAGGGACGAAAGCUGGGGGAGCAAACCGGAUUAGAUACCCGGGUAGUCCCAGCCGUAAACGAUGCGCGUUAGGUGUAUCGGUGACCACGAGUCACCGAGGUGCCGAAGAGAAAUCGUGAAACGUGCCGCCUGGGAAGUACGGUCGCAAGGCUGAAACUUAAAGGAAUUGGCGGGGGAGCACCACAACAGGUGGAGCCUGCGGUUUAAUCGGACUCAACGCCGGGAAGCUCACCGGAUAAGACAGCUGAAUGAUAGCCGGGUUGAAGACUCUGCUUGACUAGCUGAGAGGAGGUGCAUGGCCGUCGUCAGUUCGUACUGUGAAGCACCCUGUUAAGUCAGGCAACGAGCGAGACCCGA